AUAUUGCGCAAUGGGGGGAACCCUGACGCAGCAACGCCGCGUGAGCGAAGAAGGCCUUCGGGUCGUAAAGCUCUGUCUAGAGGGAUGAUAGUGACAGUACCUCUGGAGGAAGCCCCGGCUAACUACGUGCCAGCAGCCGCGGUAAUACGUAGGGUGCAAGCGUUGUCCGGAUUUACUGGGCGUAAAGGGCGCGUAGGCGGUUUAUUAAGUAAGAAGUGAAAGGCCAGGGCUCAACCCGGGAACUGCAUUUGAAACUGGUUUACUUGAGUACAGCAGAGGAGAGCGGAAUUCCUAGUGUAGCGGUGAAAUGCGUAGAUAUUAGGAAGAACACCAGUGGCGAAGGCGGCUCUCUGGACUGUAACUGACGCUGAGGCGCGAAAGCGUGGGGAGCGAAC
rnacentral:rRNA from 1 species